rnacentral:miRNA from 1 species
UAGGUUGGUGCAAAAGUCAUCAUGGCUUUGCCAUUAAAACUGCAAUGACUUUUGCAUCCACCUA